GACUUGUGUGCAUGGGAACUCGCGGUCUUCGUCCAAAAGGGCGUUACGACAUGCGGUUCCUGUGCCGUAAAAUUUGCAACUGAGUCGCCUCUGGUCUUAAUUGGUCGGUGGCGUCUGCUCGGUUGCUCGUUUACUGUGAGAAAAUUGGAGUGUUCAAGGCAGGCGUGGAUUGCAACUGAACAUGUUAGCAUGGAAUAAUAAGAUAGGGCUCCGGCUCAUAUUUUGUUGGUUUCUAGAGCGUGGGAGUAAUGAUUGAUAGGGACAGUUGGGGGUGCUAGUAUUCAGCGGCCAGAGGUGAAAUUCAUGGAUUCGCUGAAGACUGACUUAUGCGAAAGCAUU
rnacentral:rRNA from 1 species